AUGGAUCAGUUUCCCCUUCUUCCUAGUGGCUCCAAGGCCAACACCUCCACACCCUUGUACCUCACCUUAGACAACACAACCUCGGGGGCAUCCACCUCACCAGUGCCGGAGCCGGCGCCGGCGCCGCCUGAACCUUCCACACACUCCAACCAUGACAGGGGAACGGAUACAGUCAAAGCCAAGAUCAUGUCGCACCCUCUCUAUCCUGCUCUCCUGACAGCCUUCAUAGAGUGCCAGAAGGUGCGUACGUCCUGGCCUCCCGGGUUAAUUCUACGAACGCAUGUAAUAUUGCGAUUAAUGGUCGGAGCCCCGCCGGAGAUUGUCGGUCGGUUAUCCGCCCUCGCCGGCGACCUCCACUCAGAUCCUGGCGACCGGCGCCAAGACCCGGUGCCGGACCCAGAACUUGAUGAGUUCAUGGAGACCUACUGCGAUGUGCUGGUCAGGUACAAGCAGGAGCUCACGAGACCAAUCCAAGAAGCCGACCAGUUCUUCAGGGCCAUGGAGGCGCAGAUGGAGUCGUUUACACUAGACGACCAGAGCUACGAAGGGGGCGGUUCCUCGGAAGACGAGCAAGAAGCCGGCGACGUCGGCGGCCUGCCGGAGAUCACGAGUCACUGCGCGGAGGACAAGGAGCUCAAGAGCCACCUCCUGAACAAGUACAGCGGCUACCUGAGCAGCCUCUGGAGGGACCUCUCCAAGAAGAAGAAGAAAGGCAAGCUGCCGAGGGACGCGCGCCAGAAGCUCCUGCACUGGUGGCAGCUGCACUACAGAUGGCCCUACCCGUCGGAACUGGAGAAGGCGGCGCUGGCGGAGUCGACGAGGCUGGACGCGAAGCAGAUCAACAACUGGUUCAUCAACCAGCGGAAGCGGCACUGGAAGCCCACGCCGCCGGCCAUGGAGUACAUGUCGCAGCAGCAGCACCCCCACCCCUACGGCGGCGCUUCCAGCAGCUCUUCCGCCCCCUUUCGGACGACGGAUGGGCAUUACUUCGCCGGAGGAAGCGCGUAUCCCCGUGGCCCCUGA
rnacentral:rRNA from 1 species